rnacentral:rRNA from 1 species
AGAGUUUGACCCUGGCUCAGCGCGAACGCUUGCGGCGCGCCUAACACAUGCAAGUCAGGGGGCACCGCCCUUUUGGGCGGUGUAACCGGCAAACGGGUGAGUAACGCGUGGGUAACCUACCCCCGGGAGGGGGAUAACCCCCCGAAAGGGGGGCUAAUACCCCAUAACGAGCCCUCCCACUAAGGGAGGGCUCCAAAGGCCCGCCUCUGGCUCUGCCAAGCGGGCGCCCGGGGAUGGGCCCGCGUCCCAUCAGGUAGUUGGUGGGGUAACGGCCCACCAAGCCUAUGACGGGUAGCUGGCCUGAGAGGGUGGCCAGCCACAGCGGGACUGAGACACGGCCCGCACCCCUACGGGGGGCAGCAGUGGGGAAUCGUGGGCAAUGGGCGAAAGCCUGACCCCGCGACGCCGCGUGGGGGAAGAAGCCCUUCGGGGUGUAAACCCCUGUCGGGCCGGACGAAGCGGCCGGGGGUUAAAAGCCCCCGGUCGUGACGGUACGGCCAGAGGAAGGGACGGCUAACUACGUGCCAGCAGCCGCGGUAAUACGUAGGUCCCGAGCGUUGCGCGGAGUUACUGGGCGUAAAGCGUCCGCAGCCGGCCCCGCAAGCGGGUUGUCAAAGCCCACGGCUCAACCGUGGAAUGGCAUCCCGAACUGCGGGGCUUGAGGCUUGCUCGGGCAGGCGGAAUUCCCGGUGUAGCGGUGAAAUGCGUAGAUAUCGGGAGGAACACCGGUGGCGAAGGCGGCCAGCGAGGACGGUACCGACGCUGAGGCGCGAAAGCGUGGGGAGCGAACCGGAUUAGAUACCCGGGUAGUCCACGCUGUAAACGAUGGGUGCUGGGCGUUGUGCCCGAGAGGGUGCAGUGCCGAAGCUAACGCGUUAAGCACCCCGCCUGGGGAGUACGGCCGCAAGGCUGAAACUCAAAGGAAUAGACGGGGGCCCGCACAAGCGGUGGAGCAUGUGGUUUAAUUCAAUGCUACGCGAAGAACCUUACCAGGGCUUGACAUGCCGGGGGUAGCCCUGCCGAAAGGUAGGGUCGCGGACUCCUUCGGGGGUCCCACCCGGCACAGGUGGUACAUGGCCGU